rnacentral:rRNA from 1 species
UACGUAGGGAGCGAGCGUUGUCCGGAUUCAUUGGGCGUAAAGAGCUCGUAGGCGGCUUGGUAAGUCGGAUGUGAAACCUCCAGGCUCAACCUGGAGUCGCCAUCCGAUACUGCCAUGGCUAGAGUCCGGUAGGGGCCCACGGAAUUCCUGGUGUAGCGGUGAAAUGCGCAGAUAUCAGGAGGAACACCGAUGGCGAAGGCGGUUCUCUGGGCCUUACCUGACGCUGAGGAGCGAAAGCGUGGGGAGCGAACAGG